rnacentral:rRNA from 1 species
UGAGGAAUUUUCCGCAAUGGCCGAAUGGCUGACGGAGCGACACAGCGUGAAGGAUGAAGGUUUUCGGAUUGUAAACUUCUUUUCUGAGGGAAUAAGGUCUGAAUCUACCUCAGGAAUAAGCAACGGCUAACUACGUGCCAGCAGCCGCGGUAAUACGUAGGUUGCAAGCGUUAUCCGGAAUUAUUGGGCGUAAAGCGUCUGUAGGUGGUUUGUUAAGUAGAGGAUUAAAUCGUUGGGCCCAACUCAACGGCUGUUUUUUAAACUGGCAGACUAGAGGUAAGGAGAGGUAAUUGGAAUUUCCGGUGUAGGGGUAAAAUCCGUAGAUAUCGGAAGGAACGCUAAAAGCGAAGGCAGAUUACUGGUCUUACCUGACGCUGAGAGACGAAAGCGUGGGGAGCAAACAGG